UACGGGGGGGGCAAGCGUUGUUCGGAAUUACUGGGCGUAAAGGGCUCGUAGGUGGCCAACUAAGUCAGACGUGAAAUCCCUCGGCUUAACCGGGGAACUGCGUCUGAUACUGGAUGGCUUGAGUUUGGGAGAGGGAUGCGGAAUUCCAGGUGUAGCGGUGAAAUGCGUAGAUAUCUGGAGGAAUACCGGUGGCGAAGGCGGCAUCCUGGACCGACAUUGACGCUGAUGAGCGAAAGCCAGGGGAGCAAACGGG
rnacentral:rRNA from 1 species